UUGAUUUAAAUCAUUGUAAGUCUUCACUUUGAAAAUUGAAUCCCCACAAAGUGGUGGGACAUAUAUUGAUUUCAUCCAA
rnacentral:pre_miRNA from 1 species